GACGAACGCUGGCGGCGUGCCUAAUACAUGCAAGUAGGACGCAGUUGCGAACGGGUGAGUAACGCGUAGGUAACUACCUAUUAGAGGGGGAUAAAUAUUGGAAACGAUAGCUAAUACCGCAUACUCGUAGAUGGACCUGCGUUGUAUUAGCUAGUAGGUAGGGUAAUGGACUACCUAGGCAACGAUACAUAGCCGACCUGAUAGGUUGAUCGGCCACAGUGGGACUUAGACACGGCCCAGAUUCCUACGGGAGGCAGCAGAAGGGAGUCUUCGGCAAGGGGUGGAACCCUGACCGAGCAACGCAGCGGGAGUGAAGAAGGUUUUCGGAUCGUAAAGCUCUGUUGUGAAGGAAGCGGUACUUAGCCAGAAAGGGACGGCUAACUACGUGCCAGCAGCCGCGGUAAUUC
rnacentral:rRNA from 1 species